rnacentral:rRNA from 1 species
CAGUAGCCGCGGUAAUACGUAGGUGGCAAGCGUUGUCCGGAAUUAUUGGGCGUAAAGGGCUCGCAGGCGGUUUCUUAAGUCUGAUGUGAAAGCCCCCGGCUCAACCGGGGAGGGUCAUUGGAAACUGGGAAACUUGAGUGCAGAAGAGGAGAGUGGAAUUCCACGUGUAGCGGUGAAAUGCGUAGAGAUGUGGAGGAACACCAGUGGCGAAGGCGACUCUCUGGUCUGUAACUGACUCUGAGGAGCGAAAGCGUGGGGAGCGAACAGGAUUAGAUACCCCAGUAGUCCCUGUCUCUUAUAC